UCCUCUUACAUAUGCCACUAUUAUUAUCCAUAUCAGUUGUAAUCCAAUAUUCAAAGCGUUCGGUCUGUUGAACCUGAAUUUCAUUUUCUUUUCCUAUUUUUGUGUCAAGCGAGUGAGGAUCUAGCCAGAUGUUCUGCGGAUAUCCUUUCUGUCCUUGCGCUGCAUUGUGCCCUUGGGGCGGUUGUGGACCCAGUGGAUUCUAUGACCAAUGUUGGGUCAUUGAAACCAUUUGGCCCUUAAAUGGGCCAUUCAACUCCUGGUGUUGUCCAAGUGGUUCCGGAUUCUGGGGAGGAUGUUGUUGUUAAGCCCGCAGAACCCUGAAGAACUCUCUGGCCAUUUGGAUCUUGCCGCUUACAGAAGAAAAUUAGGAAAACACUAACAGCUCUUACAGUUCGUUCAACAGACCUGAAUUAUGGUUAACCUCCCAAGUAUGACGCAAUGCAGUACAUCGUCUCAAUAAAAAUUUUUAGUUAAAUAA